rnacentral:rRNA from 1 species
CAGCAGCCGCGGGAAUACGUAGGUCCCGAGCGUUGUCCGGAUUUAUUGGGCGUAAAGCGAGCGCAGGCGGUUAGAUAAGUCUAAAGUUAAAGGCUGUGGCUUAACCAUAGUACGCUUUGGAAACUGUUUAACUUGAGUGCAAGAGGGGAGAGUGGAAUUCCAUGUGUAGCGGUGAAAUGCGUAGAUAUAUGGAGGAACACCGGUGGCGAAAGCGGCUCUCUGGCUUGUAACUGACGCUGAGGCUCGAAAGCGUGGGGAGCAAACAGGAUUAGAUACCCCCGUAGUCCCUGUCUCUUAUACA